rnacentral:rRNA from 1 species
AUUGAACGCUGGCGACAGGCUUAACACAUGCAAGUCGAGCGGAGAGAGGUAGCUUGCUACUGAUCUUAGCGGCGGACGGGUGAGUAAUGCUUAGGAAUCUGCCUAUUAGUGGGGGACAACAUUUCGAAAGGAAUGCUAAUACCGCAUACGUCCUACGGGAGAAAGCAGGGGAUCUUCGGACCUUGCGCUAAUAGAUGAGCCUAAGUCGGAUUAGCUAGUUGGUGGGGUAAAGGCCUACCAAGGCGACGAUAUGUAGCGGGUCUGAGAGGAUGCUCCGCCACACGGGGACUGGGAAACGGCCCAGACUCCUACGGGAGGCAGCAGUGGGGAAUAUUGGACAAUGGGCGGAAGCCUGAUCCAGCCAUGCCGCGUGUGUGAAGAAGGCCUUAUGGUUGUAAAGCACUUUAAGCGAGGAGGAGGCUACUUUAGUUAAUACCUAGAGAUAGUGGACGUUACUCGCAGAAUAAGCACCGGCUAACUCUGUGCCAGCCGCCGCAGUAAUAC